rnacentral:rRNA from 1 species
CAAAAACAUCGCCUCCUGACUAAACAUAGGAGGUCAGGCCUGCCCAGUGACAUUGUUCAACGGCCGCGGUAUCCUAACCGUGCGAAGGUAGCGUAAUCACUUGUUCUUUAAAUGAGGACUAGUAUGAACGGCUUCACGAGAGCUAUGCUGUCUCCUUUAUCCAAUCAGUAAAACUAAUCUCCCCGUGAAGAAGCGGGGAUACAAUUAUAAGACGAGAAGACCCUAUGGAGCUUUAAACUCUUUUAACACUUGAACUACGUAUAAAAUUUUCAGAAAGCUUCAUUAAACCAAUCAUUUUGUUUCAGGUUUUAGGUUGGGGUGACCACGGAGAAAAAAUUAACCUCCACGUGGAAAGAAACUAUCUUCUAAGCAAAAAGCUACACCUUUAUGCAUCAAUACAUUGACCUAAAUUGACCCAAUUGCUUGAUCAACGAACCAAGUU